CAGUAGCCGCGGGAAUACGAAGGGGGCUAGCGUUGAUCGGAAUCACUGGGCGUAAAGGGCUCGCAGGCGGUUUCUUAAGUCUGAUGUGAAAGCCCCCGGCUCAACCGGGGAGGGUCAUUGGAAACUGGGAAACUUGAGUGCAGAAGAGGAGAGUGGAAUUCCACGUGUAGCGGUGAAAUGCGUAGAGAUGUGGAGGAACACCAGUGGCGAAGGCGACUCUCUGGUCUGUAACUGACGCUGAGGAGCGAAAGCGUGGGGAGCGAACAGGAUUAGAUACCCGGGUAGUCCCUGUCUCUUAUAC
rnacentral:rRNA from 1 species